rnacentral:rRNA from 1 species
AGUGAACGCUGGCGGUAGGCCUAACACAUGCAAGUCGAACGGCAGCACAGUAAGAGCUUGCUCUUACGGGUGGCGAGUGGCGGACGGGUGAGGAAUACAUCGGAAUCUACUUUUUCGUGGGGGAUAACGUAGGGAAACUUACGCUAAUACCGCAUACGACCUACGGGUGAAAGCAGGGGAUCUUCGGACCUUGCGCGAUUGAAUGAGCCGAUGUCGGAUUAGCUAGUUGGCGGGGUAAAGGCCCACCAAGGCGACGAUCCGUAGCUGGUCUGAGAGGAUGAUCAGCCACACUGGAACUGAGACACGGUCCAGACUCCUACGGGAGGCAGCAGUGGGGAAUAUUGGACAAUGGGCGCAAGCCUGACCCAGCCAUACCGCGUGGGUGAAGAAGGUCUUCGGGUUGUAAAGCCCUGUUGUUGGGAAAGAAAAGCAGCAGGUGAAUACCCCGCUGUUCUGACGGUACCCAAAGAAUAAGCACCGGCUAACUUCGUG